AUUGAACGCUGGCGGCAUGCCUUACACAUGCAAGUCGAACGGCAGCACGGGUGCUUGCACCUGGUGGCGAGUGGCGAACGGGUGAGUAAUACAUCGGAACAUGUCCUGUAGUGGGGGAUAGCCCGGCGAAAGCCGGAUUAAUACCGCAUACGAUCUACGGAUGAAAGCGGGGGACCUUCGGGCCUCGCGCUAUAGGGUUGGCCGAUGGCUGAUUAGCUAGUUGGUGGGGUAAAGGCCUACCAAGGCGACGAUCAGUAGCUGGUCUGAGAGGACGACCAGCCACACUGGGACUGAGACACGGCCCCGACUCCUACGGGAGGCAGCAGUGGGGAAUUUUGGACAAUGGGCGAAAGCCUGAUCCAGCAAUGCCGCGUGUGUGAAGAAGGCCUUCGGGUUGUAAAGCACUUUUGUCCGGAAAGAAAUCCUUGGCUCUAAUACAGUCGGGGGAUGACGGUACCGGAAGAAUAAGCACCGGCUAACUACGUGCCAGCAGCCGCGGUAAUACGUAGGGUGCGAGCGUUAAUCGGAAUUACUGGGCGUAAAGCGUGCGCAGGCGGUUUGCUAAGACCGAUGUGAAAUCCCCGGGCUCAACCUGGGAACUGCAUUGGUGACUGGCAGGCUAGAGUAUGGCAGAGGGGGGUAGAAUUCCACGUGUAGCAGUGAAAUGCGUAGAGAUGUGGAGGAAUACCGAUGGCGAAGGCAGCCCCCUGGGCCAAUACUGACGCUCAUGCACGAAAGCGUGGGGAGCAAACAGGAUUAGAUACCCUGGUAGUCCACGCCCUAAACGAUGUCAACUAGUUGUUGGGGAUUCAUUUCCUUAGUAACGUAGCUAACGCGUGAAGUUGACCGCCUGGGGAGUACGGUCGCAAGAUUAAAACUCAAAGGAAUUGACGGGGACCCGCACAAGCGGUGGAUGAUGUGGAUUAAUUCGAUGCAACGCGAAAAACCUUACCUACCCUUGACAUGGUCGGAAUCCCGCUGAGAGGUGGGAGUGCUCGAAAGAGAACCGGCGCACAGGUGCUGCAUGGCUGUCGUCAGCUCGUGUCGUGAGAUGUUGGGUUAAGUCCCGCAACGAGCGCAACCCUUGUCCUUAGUUGCUACGCAAGAGCACUCUAAGGAGACUGCCGGUGACAAACCGGAGGAAGGUGGGGAUGACGUCAAGUCCUCAUGCCCCUUAUGACCUGGGCUACACACGUGCUACAAUGGACGGUACAACGAGAAGCGAACCUGCGAAGGCAAGCGGAUCUCUGAAAGCCGUUCUCAGUUCGGACUGUAGGCUGCAACUCGCCUACACGAAGCUGGAAUCGCUAGUAAUCGCGGAUCAGCACGCCGCGGUGAAUACGUUCCCGGGCCU
rnacentral:rRNA from 1 species